GUCCAAGGUGAUUCCCUCUCCAAGGGGCCACCUAGUGCCCUCUCAGGUAAGUAGCAACUUUGAAUAAAAUCUGGCAAGCCCAAGAUCUUCGGGAGAGAGGGGAUGUUUUCCCUUUUGCCUUCCUUUGGCUGCCUACAUAC
rnacentral:snoRNA from 1 species